UCAGUGUGGCUUGACUGGAGAAUGUUGUGAUGCGCUGGCCUCUACUCUCAGCAAAAAGGCUUCAUGUCUGAGGGAACUGAACCUGGGAGGAAAUAACCUGCAGGAUUCAGGAGUGGAGAUUCUUUGUGCUGGAUUAGAGAAUCCACACUGCAAACUGGAGAUUCUGAGACUGUUCAACUGCGGGGUCACGGAGAAAUGCUGCACAAUUUUAGCAUCAGCUUUAAAAGGCAAACACACAGUCCUGAUAGAACUGGACCUUAGAGAAAACAACCUUAAAGACACCGACGUAAGGCAGAUUUCUGCCUUACUGGAAAAUCCAGAUUACAAACUAGAGAAAAUUAACUUGUACUGAACCCCCCACCACAUACAUGUGCACACAAAAAAGCAUGAGCUGGGGACCCUGAGGAGCAGAAACAUGAACCACAAUCCUUCUUCUAUUGUUCUUAUUUAUUGAACAUAUUUAAUAUUAUUGCUAUUCUAUAUAUUUAUGUUUAGGGCUAUUGUCAUAGUAUCUAUGCAGCCCAGAUGUCUUAACUUUAAUCUUACAGAUUAGACUGUGUAAAAAAACAUCAGCCACAUUAAUUAUGAAUUACAUGGCUCAUAUCCUACAUUUAUUUAAUAUUUUUCUGGAGCUCCACUUAGAACAUUUGCAUAGUUUUAUGUACCAAAACAGUCAUAAAAAAUUGUUACAUGACCAUUUUUCCAAACUCUUUUUAGAAUUAAAUCAGACUGUUUUGUUACGCUGCUUUUAAGACUGAUUUCUGAUUGGCUGCUCUCAUUCAAAAAGCAGUCCUAGCAGAAACACUCCUUAAAACUUCAGCGUGAAUGGGCGUGGCUAAACUGCUAUAGAAUAGGCAGAUAAAUUGUUGAUUUUCAUGACAGCAUAAAAGCAAUGAAUUCAAAAUGGGCUGCUUUUGGAGCAAAGUUUUCAUAUUUGAACUGUAUGGACUGGACAGUGAACGGUACACAAACUUUAACAGUGUUUAAAUAUUAUGUCAAACUUUAAUAUCGAAAAGUGAGGAAAACUACGUACUUAAUGAUAUGGGCCCUUUAAGUCAACAUGUUUUGAACAGUACAGUUAGCUAGGACGAAGUCUAACGCAAGAGGCCUAAUAUACAUAAUACCAGCUAGAAUCAUGUAGGUCAAUAACUGCAGAUAUUAUGUUACAGACACACAUACUAAUUUAAGGAAUUAAUGAGAUGUGCUAUUACAUUGUUGCUAAAUGUAAAGAUACCAUGUACACUCAAAAAAUGAACCACUGGGGUUGUUUAACUUAUAAACUAAAAUUAUGUCAACAUUAAAUAAGUGAAUUGUUUUGUCUUUAAGUAACUGGUUUACAUAAAAUGGACAAAAGUUUAAAUGAAAGCACAUUUCAAUGAAUAAAAACUGUUUACUUUAACCCAAAGGGAAUUCUAC